rnacentral:rRNA from 1 species
UACGUAGGGUGCAAGCGUUAAUCGGAAUUACUGGGCGUAAAGCGUGCGCAGGCGGUUAUGUAAGACAGAUGUGAAAUCCCCGGGCUCAACCUGGGAACUGCAUUUGUGACUGCAUAGCUAGGAUGCGGAAGAGGGAAGUGGAAUUUCCGGUGUAGCGGUGAAAUGCGUAGAUAUCGGAAGGAACAUCAGUGGCGAAAGCGACUUCCUGGUCCAGCAUCGACGUCAGGCACGAAAGCGUGGGGAGCAAACAGG